UGGGGAAUCUUGCGCAAUGGGCGAAAGCCUGACGCAGCCAUGCCGCAUGAAUGAUGAAGGUCUUAGGAUUGUAAAGUUCUUUCGCUCGUGACGAUGAUGACGGUAACGAGAGAAGAAGCCCCGGCUAACUUCGUGCCAGCAGCCGCGGUAAUACGAAGGGGGCUAGCGUUGUUCGGAAUUACUGGGCGUAAAGCGCGCGUAGGCGGCUUUGCAAGCCAGAGGUGAAAUGCCUGAGCUCAACUUAGGAAUUGCCUUUGGGACUGCAAGGCUUCGAGGACUGGAGAGGUGAGUGGAAUUCCCAGUGUAGAGGUGAAAUUCGUAGAUAUUGGGAAGAACACCAGUGGCGAAGGCGGCUCACUGGCCAGUUUCUGACGCUAAAGUGCGAAAGCGUGGGGAUCAAACAGGAUUAGAUACCCUGGUGGUCCACGCUGUAAACGAUGAGUGCUAGGCGUCGGCACGCUUGCGUGUCGGUGCCG
rnacentral:rRNA from 1 species